GCAGCCAUCCUGAGUUGUGGUCACCUCGAUGGCCCUGUGUAACCCUGGUCUGUUUCCCUUGCAUAGUUCCCCAGCAGACUAUACAUGACCCAUCUGAGUGGUGUGUGGAGUCUUCUGACCUGGUCCCAGGCAUUGUUAAUUGUAAGGAAUGUUCCUGAUGUCCAUAAUAUUAGCUUGAGACAAACCAAGUACAUUCUGGCUCAGAUGAAGUCAAUUUUACCUUGAGCAUUGUAUAAACCUCUUCCUUCUGACUCAAAUUACAGGGAUCCACCUGUCCUGCUGCUGCCCAAGACUCACUUCUGUAUAAGCUGAAGCCAAAACAGAUGGUGAAUAGAUUGUUUGAGACCCUACAGAGAGCUUGUGGCUAUGUCUGAGUUUGAACCCACUCUGAUGACCAGGUCGAGGGCCUUGACCACCUUGCUCAGUCACACUCAGCUCGACCUUGUUGAGAAGCCCAUGCUUCUCCUUCUCUGCAAAGGGUCUCCAGUAAGCUGGGUGGAGGAGAGAACGAAUGGAGGUAGCGUGGGGUAUUGGAGGAGAUGAAGCAGCUUGUCCUCCAUGUCCUUAGGGUGUGGAAGAGAGGGCUUUGGUAGAAAGAUUCCCACUAAGGGGGUUGGGCCCUUCCAGUUAAGGCAUCCUUGUUUUCUUUCCCAUGGGCCAGAUGCCUUCAUUCAGGCUCUUUGCAGUGACUGCACUUCGACUACGGAGUGCUCUCUGUGAGUUGGGGGCUUUGUAUGUCCAGGGUCUUACCAGGGAUUACUGUAAGGCAAGAAUAAUGGCGAUAUUGUUUGCAGAGCCAAGGUGGAAAAUCAGACCCGGGUGGAGGAUUUAUUUUUCUGCCAUAAAGCUGAUGGGGGCUCUUCAAAAGUUCACUGACUGUGGCGCUAAGUCUCCCUGGUUGGAAACACUCCUGGAUGACAAGGGCAGAGUCCUGGCUAAUGCUGUGCACACCUCUCUAUCGCCAGGCAUCCAAUUCCCUGUGAAUUUUGCAAUAUAGUGACAGUAAUGGAAAGCAAAAUGAUCUCUAAAUAAUGGUUUAAGAUGGCUACUUGAUAAGGGGCAAUGCAAUAAUUAUGAUCAAUGGAGCAUGGAUUCAAUAUAUAUUGCCCAUUUAGAUGCACCAGAUUAGCUUAACAGCUUUCUUUAAUGUUCUGAGUAUUGUAUGUGUGUGUGUGUGUGUGUGUGUGUGUGUGUGUGUGUAAGGAGGGAGGGAGGCAAGGAAGCAGAGGGAAGGGAGGGAGAGAGUGGGCAGCCAGUGAACUGCUGAGAGCCUUGCUCUGGCUCACAUUGAUCAAUGUGGCAGAGGCGACACAGUGCUCAGGAGGAAAGGAAGUUGAGCUUUUAGAAGGCGUGUGAUCCAUUACCAAGAGAAAGCUCUCAGUGUUGUGUGUGGCAGACAGAGCUUUUGUGCAGGGAGGUGGAGGCAGGAGAAAGGGUGAGGGAGAGAUACCUGAUACGAGUUUACUUGCAGGACAAUGAUUGGCGUAAUCACAGAAAUUAGGCAUGCGGGCGGCCAGGCAAAAGAAUCCCUCCACACCCCUGAACCAGGCUCUGGAAACUAAGUGGGCUGGACAGUGCUGGAUUCUGAAAGCUGGGCGGACCACGCAAAUGUAUUUUGCCAGGAAGUGGGGGAACUGAUUUCCUUGACAUUGGUCCUAAUCUCCCCACCCAGAGGGAAUUGUUCCGUGACAGCCUGUCUAGCAAUCUGGGUCCAUUCCCUACCUUUCAUGUUUCCAGGUUGAUCCCAGGUAAGGCCGAGGGCCUGUGAUCAGUGUGUAAUGAUGAAGGCAGCGUGCCAUGUGGGCUGGAAUUCCUGGGAUAAUGGGGAUAAAAUGGUUGCAGUCUUCAUCUUGCUUUGAUUUGUCAGUUAACAUAACAGCCCCCUCUUCCCCCUGUCAUGAAAGGACAUCAGUAGGAAGUGUCACUAUUCCAUGUGACGAGAAGCCAGCCUGCUAACUUGAUAAUCCCCACUGAUGGCCCUGCUGAGUGGCUAAUUGCCUCAGUGACUUUCAGGCCUGCAGAGGCAGCUGGAGUUUAGAUGAUAAUAAUGGCAGCUAAGAUUCACUGAGCAUCUACUAUGUGCCGGGACUUUAGCGUGGCAGCUCUUAAACUGCACAAAAAUCACCUGGGGUGUUUAUUAAAUAAAUGCAGAUUCUGAUUCAGUAAGUCUGGGUGGGGUCCAAAGGGAUGCCAAAGGUUCUGGGUAGCAGAUCCCCCCUUUGAACAGCCAGGGUCUAAUGCCAAAUCUUUUUUGAUUCUUGUAUGAACUCCAUGAGGGGAACUGUUGUGAAUCCCAUUCUACAGAGGAAGAUAUCAAGCCUAAAGAGACGAGCUGCAGCCACAGAGAAAGGUACAACAUGAUGUACUACAGUCACAAGCUGAAGCAGCCUGGAUUCCUGAGUGACCCUGAGUCAUUCAACCCAGAUGGCACGGGCAAGACAGAAACUCAGUUGUGUGAAGCCAUGGAGAUGUCAGGACGCAUCUUUGCUGCAGCAGCUGGCUGAGUUAGCUCGCCAUGUGCCUUUUGGCUCUUCGCUUCUGUGCUUGGGCUACUGAAAACUCUUCACAGGGCCACUUGCUGCUGGUCACCAGGCAUCCAGACUGGUCCAGAGCAUCACACUGUGAAGUAGCUAUCCUCAUGAGACCAUGAAAAAAACAGACAUAAGCUAAGACUCUCCAGGGGUCCUGACAGAAGAAAAGUGAUGCUUGCCUUUCUUCUGAGCCUUCAAAGUGUCGAGGCUGGGGCUUAGGACUGUACCCAGAGCUCAUCAACACCUCACGCUAAUUUUCAAAUGCUCCAGGCUUGAUUAAACCCAAAGGGCAGUUUGCCAAGUGCUUCCUCCCCCACCUUAAUUGUUGAGAUUGUGUAGAAUUGGAGUAAAAUUUAAUCCAGAUGUUUCUGAUUCGUUUAAGUUCAAAUCACCAGAAAAUACUCUUAAGUUGCUAUUUGAUGUUGAAGAAGUUUUUCAAGCAUUUUCCCUGUUCUUAAUAGGAGAGGUCACAUUUGGGUAAGGGUAAAUGAGGCCCAUGCACCUAGAGGUUUCAUCUGAUUUGAUUUGAAAACCCACUUUUGUGAAAUCUGAGUCAGAACUCAAUUUUUCUUUGACCUCCUUUUCAAAUCCCUACCAUGACCAUCUCAAAGGGAAGCCAGAGUCAUUUUCAUGCAGUUGAUAUCAGGGAUUCCUGUUUGAAAAAUUAAUACCCCCAGGCAUGGCCUUCUCUGGCCCUUGGGUCUGAUUGGAGCUGGCAAGCGGCCACUCCCUGUUUGAACUACAGGAGAAGAAAUUUGGGCCAGGUGAGCACAUUGAUUGGACCUCAUUUUGCUACCUAGGAACAUAUUCAUUCAGCUGAUGCAAGCCAAGGUGGCACCAAGUGUCUGAGAACUGAUAAAUAAGUUCUACAGGCUUCUCAUAGUCUAGGGCAGUAGUUUUCAAAGUGUGGUUCCUGAACUGCAGCACUAACGUUAUCCAGGAACUUAAAACUGGGAAUUCACCCUCAUCCUUGAUAGAUGGAGUCAGAAUCUCUGGAGGCAGGGCCAACAGUCAGUGUUACCAAAACCCUGUUCAUCCUGCACCCUGACACUUGAGAAUUGAAGGUCUAGGGCAGUGGUGGCAAACCUAUGGCAUGUGUGCCACAGCCGGCUGUUUAUUGUCAUGGAAAGUUCCAAAAGGUUCACCAUCAGUGGUCUAGGACUUUGGGCAAUCCUUGCUAUGUUACUCAGCAAUAUGUGUUACCUCCUUUGUAGGAAUUAUGAGAUAACAGUGUCAUAUGAUUCCAGACACCCAGACUUAAGCAAUACUGGAUUUACCCAUGGUUGUAAAAAUGAACUUUUUGAUUGAAUGAAAAGGCCAAAAAAAAAAAAAAAAUCAAACAAUCCCCUGAGUUGAUGCUCCCUCACCAAAUGACCUUUUCAUUUUUCUUUGCAGUGGCUGUGCUGUGUGGUUGUAUAGACACAGCCCAAUGCCAGUUUUCCACAGUGGCAAUCUGAAAGUGAAAAUUCUUCUGAUACCCUGCAUUGUUUUCUGGAAAAUACCAUUUCCUCAACAUCCAGGCUUUUAUGAUAUGUGCAUUUAGACAGACACUGGAUUUGGCAAGUUGGUAGGACAGGAUCACCCUCUUUGGUGUGAGUUCACUUGUGCUGCCUUACAUUCGUCAAAUGUUAAUCGAGCUGCUGUUACAUUUUAGGGCAGUCCUGGAGGAACUCAGCGAGUCACCUGGAGACAAGGCUAAUAACCCCUGUGCCUCACCAAAAAGCUCCAUGACGAGAGGCUGGCAAGGACAACUGAACACAUGAUCAAUCAAACACCAUUCUAUGUGAGCACUUCCCAGCAACAGUGGAGCAAAGGGCAGAUGGCUGAGGGUGGUCCUAGACUGCCUCCCAGAAGCCCCAGGUGUUGAAGACCUGGUCCCCAGCUUGGUGCUGUUAGGAGCAGGUGGAACUUUUAAGAAGUGGAGCCUAGUGGGAGGUUUUAGGUCAUUGGGGUGUGCCCUCGACUGUGGGAAUCCAGUCUUUUCCUCCCUUUCACUUCCUGGUACCAUGAAGAAAACAGCUUUGCCCUACCACACGCUCCCCACCAGGAUGUGCUGCCUCUCCAUUUGGCCUCAAAGCAACAAGGCCACUCAAUUUUGUACUCAAAUCUUCAAAGCCAAA